CCAGACUCCUACGGGAGGCAGCAGUGGGGAAUAUUGGGCAAUGGGCGCAAGCCUGACCCAGCAACGCCGCGUGAAGGAAGAAGGCUUUCGGGUUGUAAACUUCUUUUAAGAGGGAAGAGCAGAAGACGGUACCUCUUGAAUAAGCCACGGCUAACUACGUGCCAGCAGCCGCGGUAAUACGUAGGUGGCAAGCGUUGUCCGGAUUUACUGGGUGUAAAGGGCGUGUAGGCGGGGAAGCAAGUCAGAUGUGAAAACCACGGGCUCAACCUGUGGCCUGCAUUUGAAACUGUUUUUCUUGAGUACUGGAGAGGCAGACGGAAUUCCUAGUGUAGCGGUGAAAUGCGUAGAUAUUAGGAGGAACACCAGUGGCGAAGGCGGCUUACUGGACUGUAACUGACGUUGAGGCUCGAAAGCGUGGGGAGCAAACAGGAUUAGAUACCCCCGUA
rnacentral:rRNA from 1 species